GGUGCUUCUUUCUUCUACUAGGCUCCUUCAAGCAAUGGUUGAUGUUAUUUCCAGUAAUGGGUGGCUUAGUCUAGCACUUCUAGCAAUGGAGGUGAGCCAAAUGGUGACACAGGGAAUGUGGGAACGUGACUCGAUGCUUCUCCAGCUUCCCCAUUUCACGAAGGAUUUGGCUAAGAAGUGCCAAGAAAAUUCAGGAAAGAGUGUAGAGACAGUUUUUGAUUUAGUGGAGCUGGAAGAUGACGAGCCUCCAGCUUCCUCACUUCACGAAGGAUUUGGCUAAGAAGUGCCAAGAAAAUCCAGGAAAGAGUGUAGAGACAGUUUUUGAUUUAGUGGAGCUGGAAGAUGAUGAGAGGCGUGAGCUCUUGCAAAUGUCUGACUUACAGCUUAUGGAUAUUGCCCGGUUCUGUAAUCGGUUUCCAAACAUCGAUCU
rnacentral:lncRNA from 1 species